GAUCUUCAAGGUAGAAACUUGUUCAAACAAGUGUGCUCAGUAUUUUAGAAGACAGUGCUUCCUGUUUUCUGCUGGAGCUUGGUGCCCUCAGUUUCAUUUUGAAGCACUGUUUACAACCCAGAUGAACACAGCUUGGCAGCCAGAGGCACCACAGCCCCAUUGAGCUGAGCCUGGCGGCGGGAGGCGGUGGAGAGCCAGUGGUGGAGCCGCUUGGAACACAGCCCUGUCUUGGGAGACACUAUUACCCACAUCUUUCCAGGUAGAAACCAACCCUUCCACCACCACUCUCUGGGCCGAGACAACACAGUCAUUACCAUUACCAUGAUUUGAUAUCCAUGACAUCUCUUGCAGUUGCUGUCACACCACUUAUUACAAAUCCAAAUGACCAGCAUCCCAGAGAAGCUGCUUGUGCAAGCCAGAUAAUAAACGACCACUAAGGUAGCUUCCAGACGCUAUCUUUUGAUUUAAUCUGACAUUGUAAAAAUACUUGUCAUUAUGACAUUGCAUUUAGAUGUCAUAGAAAAUACAAAA